rnacentral:lncRNA from 1 species
GGGCCACAGAGAAGGAAGACCUAUCUGAAAGGUGAAAGAGGAUUGGAAGUGAAUUGGCCAGAACUGGCCAUUCACGAACACUCUCCUAAGCCAAUCACUGCAAGAGAAGUGGAGUUUCCGUGAGUGGUUUGGUACCAUCGUGAUUCAUCCCUGGGGAUACCAGAAAGGCCCCCCUCCCCUGCUAAGUGAGCUGAGGGAAGCGUCUGACCAGGCUCUCACGCAUGUGCUCAUCUGGCACGGAUCUACUGAGCUCCCCAAGCUGAGCGUGCCGUGAAGGAUGAUGGGGGUGUGCAGAGGGAGCACAAAGGAUAUUCUGGGAGGACAGGUGACCUAGAAACCAUGCAUGUUUCUCAGUAUGGACAGAGCACCCAGACUUCACCCAGAAUCCCAUCUCCUGCUUGCAUUGGUCCCCGUUAUUAUUACCAAGACAAGAUCCCCAAAGAUGGAGACUGCCAUGGAGUGUGGCGCACACAGCAAAAGCACUAGUUUUCUUUAAUGGAAUCACUCCCAGUAACGUCAUGCUUGCAUUACUUUCUUAUUUGGAGAUACAGAACAGCCCAG